UACAGAGGUCCCAAGCGUUGUUCGGAUUCAUUGGGCGUAAAGGGUGCGUAGGCGGCGCGGUAAGUCGGGUGUGAAAUCUCGGAGCUUAACUCCGAAACUGCGUUCGAUACUGCCGUGCUCGAGGACUGGAGAGGAGACUGGAAUUCAUGGUGUAGCAGUGAAAUGCGUAGAGAUCAUGAGGAAGACCAGUGGCGAAGGCGGGUCUCUGGACAGUUCCUGACACUGAGGCACGAAGGCCCAGGGGGAGCAAAACGGG
rnacentral:rRNA from 1 species